GACGAACGCUGGCGGCGUGCCUAAUACAUGCAAGUUGAGCGAUGAAGCUUGGUGCUUGCACCAAUUUGAAGAGCAGCGAACGGGUGAGUAACGCGUGGGGAAUCUGCCUUUGAGCGGGGGACAACAUUUGGAAACGAAUGCUAAUACCGCAUAACAACUUUAAACAUAAGUUUUAAGUUUGAAAGAUGCAAUUGCAUCACUCAAAGAUGAUCCCGCGUUGUAUUAGCUAGUUGGGGAGGUAAAGGCUAACCAAGGCGAUGAUACAUAGCCGACCUGAGAGGGGGAUCGGCCACAAUGGGACCGGGACACGGCCCAAACUCCUACGGGAGGCAGCAGUAGGGAAUCUUCGGGAAUGGACGAAAGGCUGACCGAGCAACGCCGGGUGAGUGAAGAAGGUUUUCGGAUCGUAAAAAUCUGUUGGUAGGGAAGAACGUUGGUGGGAGUGGAAAGCGCAUCAAGUGACGGUAACUACUCAGAAAGGGACGGCUAACUACGUG
rnacentral:rRNA from 1 species